AAUGAUUGCAAAGUAAAAAAAUAGUGUUACCAUUAUGAUGUCGCAAGACUAUGAUAAUAAACGCUGUACAUGAUAGGCGCUAUGGACUCGGGGGCGGUACCCGACACCUCCACCAGUGGUAUAGGGGGGUGAACUAGCUUUGACAUUCUCCGAAGGGUAUAAGUUUUAUUCAGCGAGAUUCGGCUGCCGCGCAGGCGGAAACAGUUCAGAAAUUUAAAUGCAAAAGACAAUUUUGCUAAUGUUGCAAUGGCUGCGUAGUCUUCGGACUAAUAUUUCAAUAGAAAUAUUUUCACCUGACGGUGACUGUUUGUUGUAGCGGGGCCCAGGGGAGCCUGUCAACAGAAUCCCCUACG
rnacentral:tmRNA from 1 species